GGGGAAUUAGCUCAAGUGGUAGAGCGCUCGCUUAUCAUGUGAGAAGUACCGGGAUCGAUACCCGGAUUUUCCA
rnacentral:tRNA from 1 species